GAUGAACGCUGGCGGCGUGCCUAAUACAUGCAAGUCGAGCGAACGGACGAGAAGCUUGCUUCUCUGAUGUUAGCGGCGGACGGGUGAGUAACACGUGGAUAACCUACCUAUAAGACUGGGAUAACUUCGGGAAACCGGAGCUAAUACCGGAUAAUAUUUUGAACCGCAUGGUUCAAAAGUGAAAGACGGUCUUGCUGUCACUUAUAGAUGGAUCCGCGCUGCAUUAGCUAGUUGGUAAGGUAACGGCUUACCAAGGCAACGAUGCAUAGACGACCUGAGAGGGUGAUCGGCCACCCUGGAACUGAGACACGGUCCAGACUCCUACGGGAGGCAGCAGUAGGGAAUCUUCCGCAAUGGGCGAAAGCCUGACGGAGCAACGCCGCGUGAGUGAUGAAGGUCUUCGGAUCGUAAAACUCUGUUAUUAGGGAAGAACAUAUGUGUAAGUAACUGUGCACAUCUUGACGGUACCUAAUCAGAAAGCCACGGCUAACUACGUG
rnacentral:rRNA from 1 species